UACAGAGGGGGCAAGCGUUAUUCGGAAUUAUUGGGCGUAAAGGGCGCGUAGGCGGCUUUGCAAGUGGCGGGUGAAAUCCCUCGGCUUAACCGAGGAACUGCCUGCCAGACUGUGAGGCUUGAGUCCGGAAGAGGUGAGUGGAACUCCGAGUGUAGAGGUGAAAUUCGUAGAUAUUCGGAAGAACACCAGUGGCGAAGGCGGCUCACUGGUCCGGUACUGACGCUGAGGUGCGAAAGCGUGGGGAGCAAACAGG
rnacentral:rRNA from 1 species